UACGUAGGGGGGCUAGCGUUGUCCGGAUUUAUUGGGCGUAAAGAGCGUGUAGGCGGCCAGAUAGGUCUGCUGUGAAAACUCGAGGCUCAACCUCGAGAUGUCGGCGGAAACCAUUUGGCUAGAGUCCGGAAGAGGAAAGUGGAAAUUCCUGGUGUAGCGGUGAAAUGCGCGGAUAAUCAGGAAGAACACCCGUGGCGAAGGCGGCUU
rnacentral:rRNA from 1 species